rnacentral:rRNA from 1 species
CGGCGUGCCUAAUACAUGCAAGUCGAACGCUCUGUCCUCUACCGAAGGUGCUUGCACUGAAAGUUGAUUGACGUGAGUGGCGGACGGGUGACUAACACCUGGGUAACCUGCCCUUAAGCAGGGGAUAACAUUUGCAAACUAAUGCUGAUACCCCAUAGAAGUUGACAUCACAUGGGCUUAAUUUUAAAGACGGCCUCUGGCUGUCUCUUAAGGAUGGACCCGCGGCGUAUUAGCUAGUUGGUGAGAUAAUACCCCACCAAGGCGAUGAUACGUAUCCGACCUGAGAGGGCAAUCGGCCACAUUGAGACUGACACACGGCCCAAACUCCUACGGGAGGCAGCAGUAGGGAAUCUUCCACAAUGGACGAAAGUCUGAUGGAGCAACGCCUCGUGAGUGAAGAAGGUUCUCGGAUCGAAAAACUCUGUUGUUGGAGAAGAACAGGGACUAGAGUAACUGUUAGUCCUUUGACGGCAUCCAACCACAAAGCCACGGCUAACUACGUGCCAGCAGCCGCGGUAAUACCUAGGUGGCAAGCGUUGUCCGGAUUUAUUGGGCGUAAAGCGAGCGCAGGCGGUUUCUUAAGUUUGAUGUGAAAGCCUUCGGCUUAACCGAAGAAGUGCAUCAGAUACUGGGAAACUUGAGUGCAGAAGAGGAAAGUGGAACUCCAUGUGUAGCGGUGAAAUGCGUAGAUAUAUGGAAGAACACCAGUGGCGAAGGCGGCUUUCUGGUCUGUAACUGACGCUGAGGCUCGAAAGUAUGGGGAGCGAACAGGAUUAGAUACCCUGGUAGCCCAUACCGUAAACGAUGAAUGCUAAGUGUUGGAGGGUUUCCGCCCUUCAGUGCUGCAGCUAACGCAUUAAGCAUUCCGCCUGGGGAGUACGACCGCAAGGUUGAAACUCAAAGGAAUUGACGGGGGCCCGCACAAGCGGUGGAGCAUGUGGUUUAAUUCGAAGCUACGCGAAGAACCUUACCAGGUCUUGACAUCUAGCGCCAAUCCUAGAGAUAGGACGUUCCCUUCGGGGACGCUAAGACAGGUGGUGCAUGGUUGUCGUCAGCUCGUGUCGUGAGAUGUUGGGUUAAGUCCCGCAACGAGCGCAACCCUUAUGAUUAGUUGCCAGCAUUUAGUUGGGCACUCAAAUCAGACUGCCGGUGACAAACCGGAGGAAGGUG